CCUACGGGGGGCAGCAGUGAGGAAUAUUGGUCAAUGGGCGCGAGCCUGAACCAGCCAAGUCGCGUGAGGGAGGACGGCCCUACGGGUUGUAAACCUCUUUUGCCGGGGAGCAACGGGCGUCACGUGUGGCGCCACUGAGAGUACCCGGAGAAAAAGCAUCGGCUAACUCCGUGCCAGCAGCCGCGGUAAUACGGAGGAUGCGAGCGUUAUCCGGAUUUAUUGGGUUUAAAGGGUGCGUAGGCGGAUCGUUAAGUCAGUGGUCAAAUUGAGGGGCUCAACCCCUUCCCGCCAUUGAAACUGGCGUUCUUGAGUGGAAGAGAAGUAUGCGGAAUGCGUGGUGUAGCGGUGAAAUGCAUAGAUAUCACGCAGAACCCCGAUUGCGAAGGCAGCAUGCCGGCUUCCGACUGACGCUGAAGCACGAAAGCGUGGGGAUCGAAC
rnacentral:rRNA from 1 species